GGCUCCCUGCGCCCACCGAGGGGCGAAGCUCGGCAGCUGCGCCCGUUGCAGCGCAGUGGCGGAAGGCGGCAGCCCUGCCCGCCGUGAGCCUGCGGCCCCGGCAAAUACCGCGCUGCCGCCUCACAGCCGCAUGGCUUCUGGCCAUGCUUUUGCGCGUACUCGAGGCAGAGGUGAUGAUUAAUCUGCAAUUCAUUGAACACCUGCUUAAAAUCACGCCCAGAGUGUGGUUUAACCUUGUCCGAGGUUCAGUACCUCGCGUCUUGCCUUUCUCUCCUAUCACUGAGACGCUCGUUCCGUCAGUCCUGCUUCUGCCUGAGUACUGUGGUGAUGCGUACGCUCCCUGUUGAAAAUCUCCUAGCAGCCUAGAGCAUUUUUUGCAGUCGGUUUUGGAUGCUUCAGUCUCAAGAAGCUGAGGUGAUGUGGAGCUCUCGGUGUCAGCGAGUAUUUCUGCAUUAAGAGCCUCAGGCUGAAAGAGCUCAGUUUUUGAUGGUAGUAUGUGAAUCCACAUUGGCCCCUUUUCCUCGAGCGUGAGCUGCAAGGAGCUAAACGGCAGCGGCAUUUAGUUCAAUCUCCUCAAAUAAAUUGGAAUUUUUUAAUAAUGGCAAUACAUUCAUUCUGCCAUUUGGAGGAGCCUGUGCCACAGAAUAAUGAUCUGAAGAAAGCUCACUUAUUUGCAAAGAAGAGUCUUCAUUUGGGAAGUAGUUCCGAUGCAGCUAAGAGGUGCUUUGUCAAGUUCAGCAGAACUAUUAUUGUUCCUAGUAGAACCUCCUGUUUGUGGUCAAAAUUGGGGUUUCCUCAAAGAGAGUCCUGUAUCUGAAGGGUGAGAAGGUCUUUGACAUUCAGUGGGAUGAGAAUCUCAGAACAGACUGACUACUGGGGACUCCCAAGCUACAGUUCAGAAACCAUUUUGGUAGGUGUGGGUUGCUUGUCAGAAAUCCCUUCCGAAGCUUGAAUGCGAGGCAAGCAGGGUACUAAUGAUGGAUACAAAGGGUUGUCUUCAGGAUAACAAUGGAUGCAGCAUCUUCAAAAGCAGUUUCAUUCUGGCCCUGCUGCUGGAUUUGUUCAAAUGGACCUCGAUAGCCGUGGGGCCUGACCGAGUUGGUUUGACAAUGGAUAACUGCAGGUUUCUACUCUGAAGAUCUGAUUGUAGGCCUCAACCUAAAUUCCUAUUUUAUUCCUCUAUUUGCUCCUAAUACAUGAAAAUUAUCCUACAAAAUGGUAUUGUCUUUGAGUCUCCUGCACACCUACUUUAAUAGCGUUCAGACACCAUGCGCUUGGGAUGUUGUCACAAGUUGUUAAAGUAUUUCUGUUGUGUCAUGUGCCAAAACGUCAUGAUUGCUGUGAUUAUUGUGUUAUAUUUUUACAUUCGGUGGCUUCCUACCAAAAAUGGAGAUCAUCACCUGUGUUUCCAGUCAUUGUGGUAUUUCUCUUAACUCAGAUUUGGAAGUCAGAGUAAAUGUUGUAACUCUAUCCAGGUCACUUUUAAAGGUGUUAGUAGACUUGGCUUUAUUUGCUGAACACAAAUAAGAUCUACUUUAUUUUAUUUUGCAAUGUGCUGUUUUCUUAGUAGCCUACUACUGAAAGCUUUCAAUACGAUGAUAUCCUGUGAUGUAGAGCAAUAAAAUAAGUAGGAAAAGGCAGUAACUUUUA